rnacentral:lncRNA from 1 species
UAGCUGGUUCUCGGCGCUAAUAUGGAAAACCUCGAUAUCUCCCUUUUGCUGGUGGUCUCUCAGAAAGUGAUGUCGGAUGUCUAUGUGCUUAGUGCGGUUGUGUUCAACAGGAUUAUCCGCCAUGCGGAUUGCACUCUCAUUGUCACAUAGGAGUGGGACUUUGCUUAGAUUGUAGCCAAAGUCCCGGAGGGUUUGCCUCAUCCAAAGUAGGUGCGCUCAACACUGUCAUGUGGCAACAUACUCGGCCUCAGCGGUGGAUAGGGCAAUGGAGGUUUGUUUCUUUGAACUCCAAGACACCAGGGACCUUCCUAGGAAUUGGCACGUCCCUGAUGUACUCUUCCUAUCAACCUUGCAUCCAGCAUAAUCCGAGUCUGAAUAUCCAAUCAAGUCAAAGGUAGACCCCUUUGGAUACCAGAUCCCGAAGCAAGGCGUAGAGACUAAAUAUCUAAGAAUCCGCUUAACAGCCACAAGGUGGCAUUCCCUUGGGUCGGAUUGAUAUCUAGCACACAUGCAUACGCUAAGCAUAAUAUACGGUCUACUAGCACAUAAAUAAAGCAAUGACCUUAUCAUAGACCAGUAUGCCUUUUGAUCAAUGGACUUACCUCCUUUGUUGAGGUCGACAUGUCCGUCGGUUCCCAUAGGUGUCUUUGCGGGCUUAGUGUCCUUCAUCCCAAACCGCAUGGGAAGAUCUUGAGUGUACUUCGUUUGGGAGAUGAAGGUGCCAUCCUUGAGUUGCUUCACUUGGAACCCAAGGAAGUAGUUCAACUCGCCCAUCAUUGACAUCUCAAAUUUCUGAGUCAUCACCCUGCUAAACUCCUCACAAGACUUUUGAUUAGUAGAACCAAAUAUUAUGUCAUCGACAUAAAUUUGGCACACAAAAAGGUCACCAUUACAAGUCUUAGUGAAAAGAGUGGGAUCAGCUUUCCCAACCUUGAAAGAAUUAGCAAUUAAGAAAUCUCUAAGGCAUUCAUACCAUGCUCUUGGGGCUUGCUUAAGUCCAUAGAGCGCCUUAGAGAGCUUACACACAUGGUGGGGGUACCUGUCAUCCUCAAAGUCAGGGGGUUGUUCCACGUACACCUCCUCCUUUAUUGGCCCGUUGAGAAAAGCGCUCUUCACAUCCAUUUGAAACAACCUAAAAGAGUGGUGAGCGGCAUAGGCUAAUAAUAUUCUAAUAGACUCUAGCCUCGCCAUUGGAGCAAAAGUCUCCUCGAAAUCCAAACCUGCGACUUGGGCAUAACCUUUUUGCUACAAGUCGAGCCUUGUUUCUUGUCACCACUCUAUGCUCGUCUUGCUUGUUGCGGAACACCCACUUGGUUCCCACAACGUUUUGCUUUGGACGUGGCACCAGGCUCCAAACUUCAUUUCUCUUGAAGUUGUUGAGCUGUUCCUGCAUGGCCAACACCCAGUCCGGGUCUUGCAAGGCCUCUUCUACCCUGAAAGGCUCAAUAGAAGAGACAAACGAGUAAUGCUCACAAAAAUUAGCUAAUCUUGAGCGAGUAGUUACUCCCUUGCUUAUGUCACCCAGAAUCUGAUCGACGGGGUGAUUUCUUUGAAUCGUCGCUCGGACUUGAGUUGGAGGGGCCGGUGGUGCUUCUUCCUCCAUAGCUUGUUCUUCUUGUGCUCCCCCUUGAUCACACGCCUCUUCUUGAGGAACCUGUCCAUCAUCUUGAGUAGGGGGAUGCACCAUUAUUGAGGAAGAAGGUUGAUCUUGCUCUUGUUGUUCCUGUGGUCGCACAUCUCCAAUUGCCAUGGUGCGUAUUGCUGCCGUCGGAACAUCAUCUUCAUUUAUGUCAUCAAGAUCAACUUGCUCUCUUGGAGAGCCAUUAGUCUCAUAAAAUACAACAUCGCUAGAGACUUCAACCAAAGCCGAUGAUUUGUUGAAGACUCUAUAUGCCUUUGUAUUUGAGUCAUACCCUAGUAAAAACCCUUCUACAGCUUUGGGAGCAAAUUUUGAAUGUCUACCUUUCUUCGCCAAAAUAUAGCAUUUUCUCCCAAAUACACGAAAGUAAGAGACAUUGGGUUUGUUAUCGGUAAGGAGUUCGUAGGAGGUCUUCUUGAGGAGAUGAUGCAGAUAGAGCCGGUUUAUGGCGUGGCAAGCUGUGUUCACAGCUUCCGACCAAAACCGCUCGAGCAUCUUAAACUCUCCAAGCAUCGUCCUCACCAUGUCGAUAAGUGUCCUGUUCUUCCUCUCUACUACACCAUUUUGCUGUGGUGUGUAGGGAGCGGAGAACUCAUUCUUGACACCUUCCUCCUCAAGAUACUCCUCAACUUGUAAGUUCUUGAACUCGGACCCGUUGUUGCUUCUUAUCUUUUUCACCUUGAGCUCAAAUUCGUUUUGAGCCCUCCUUAGAAAGCGCUUUAGGGUCCCUUGGGUUUCUGAUUUAUCCUGCAAAAAGAACACCCAAGUGAAGCGGGAAAAGUCAUCUACAAUUACAAGACCAUACUUACUUCCUCCGAUGCUAAGGUAGGCGACGGGUCCGAAGAGGUCCAUGUGAAGAAGCUCCAGUGGUCUUGAUGUUGUCAUCACAUUCUUACUGUGAUGAGUGCUUCCCACCAGUUUCCCUGCCUGACAAGUUGCACAAGGUCUGUCUUUCUCGAAGCAGACAUUGGUUAGUCCUAACACAUGUUCUCCCUUUAGAAGUUUAUGAAGGUUCUUCAUCCCGACAUGUGCUAGACGAUGAUGCCACAACCAGCUCAUGCUAGUCUUAGCUAUUAAGCAUGCAUCUAGAUCGACCUCUUCUCUCGAAAAAUCAACUAAGUAGAGUUUGUUGUCUAAUACACCCUUAAACGCUAAUGAACCAUCACUCCUUUCUAAAGACAGAAACAUCUAUAUUUGUAAAUAGACAAUUAUAACCCAUGCUACAUAAUUGACUCACGGACAAUAGGUUGUACCCGAGCGAUUCAACUAAGAACACAUUGGAGAUUGAAUGCUCGGAUGUAAUGGCUAUCUUUCCCAAUCCUUUAACCUUGCCUUGGUUCCCAUCUCCAAAGAUGAUCGAAUCUUGGGAAUCCUUGUUCUUGACGUAGGAGGUAAACAUCUUCUUCUCCCCCGUCAUGUGGUUUGUGCAUCCGCUGUCGAUAAUCCAGCUUGAGCCCCCGGAUGCAUAAACCUGCAAGGUAAUUGACACUUGGGUUUUAGGUACCCAACUCUUGUUGGGUCCUACAAGCUUAGUCACAAUAGCCUUUGGAACCCAAAUACAAGUCUUAUCUCCCUUGCAUUUGGAUCCCAACUUCCUAGCAACUAUUUUUUCAUUCUUACAACAAAUUGCAAAAGAAGUAUUGCAAGCAUGGUAAAUAGUAGAAGGUUCAUUACAUACUUUCCUAGGCACAUGAUGCACAACAUGAUUUCUCCUAGGCUUACUUCUACCAUGCACAAAAGUAGAGCUAGAAGCAAACAUAGCAUGUGAAUUAAACGCAUUAUAACUCCUAUUAUAAUGAGCGUUUCUAGAAAAUUUUCUAUCAUAAAUGUAAGCAUGACAUUUUUUAGAACUACUAGCCAUAGGAGCCUUCUCUUUCUCCUUGUUGAGAACGGGAGUCUUUUGGCUUGUUAAGUUCCUGGUUUCCUUUCGAAAACCAAGUCCAUCCUUAAUAGAGGGGUGUCUACCAAUAGCAUAGGCAUCCCUAGCAAAUUUUUGCUUAUCAAAAUCAACCUUGCAAGUCUUAAGUUGAGCAUUAAGACUUGCCACCUCAUCACUUAAUUUAGUAAUGGACGUAAGAUGUUCAUCACAAGCAUCAAUAUCAAAAUCCUUGCAUCUAUUGCAAAUUACAACAUGUUCUACACAUGAACUAGAUUGAUUAGCUACCUCUAACUUAGCAUUUAAAUCAUCAUUUAAAAUCUUUAACCUAGAGAUAGAUUCAUGGCAAGCAGAUAAUUUAGAAGAUAGCAUCUCAUUUCUCUUAGUUUCUAAAGCAAGAGAUUUUUGCGCACUAACAAAUUUAUCAUGCUCUUCAUACAAAAUAUCCUCUUGCUUUUCUAAAAGUCUAUCCUUUUCAUUUAAAGCAUCAAUUAGUUCAUUAAUCUUUUCUACUUUAGCUCUAUCUAAUCCUUUGAACAAGGUAGAGUAAUCUACUUCAUCAUCACUAGAAUCCUCAUCACUAGAAGUAGAGUACUUGGGGGAAUCUCGAACACUCACCUUCUUUUCCUUGGCCAUAAGGCAGGUGUGGCAUUCGUUGGGGAAGAGCGAAGAUUUGUUGAAGGCCGAGGCUGCCAGUCCUUCAUCGUCGGAGUCGGAUGAAGAGUAGUCAGAAUCCCAUUCUUUACCAAGGUGCGCCUUGCCCUUCGCCUUCUUAUAGACCUUCUUCUUCUCCCUCUUCCCGUGCUUUUCUUGUUCAUGGUCAUCAUCAUUAUCGGGGCAUUGUGCUAUGGAAUGACCAGUGUUACCGCAUUUGAAGCAGGAGCGCUUUCCCCUUGCUUUGUUCUUGUUGGGGUACUCCUUGCGUCCUUUCAAUGCGGUCUUGAAGCGCUUGAUGAUAAGCGCCAUCUCAUCUUCAUUGAGGCCCGCGGCCUCCACUUGUGCCACCUUGCUUGGUAGCUUCUCCCUAUUGCUGGUUGCUUUGAGGGCAAUGGUUUGAGGCUCGUGGACGGGUAGUGGUCCGUUUAGAGCAUCGUCCACAUAUCGAGCCUCUUUUACCAUCAUGCGCCCGCUCACAAACUUCCCAAGAAUCUCCUCGGGCGUCAUCUUGGUGUACCUGGGAUUCUCACGAAUAAGGUUGACAAGAUGAGGGUCAAUUACCAUAAAUGACCUUAGCAUUAGUCGAACGACGUCGUGGUCCGUCCAUCUUGUGCUUCCAUAGCUCCUAAUCUUGUUGACCAGGGUCUUGAGCCUGUUGUAUGUUUGUGUUGGCUCCUCUCCCCUGAUCAUCGCGAAUCUUCCCAGUUCGCCUUCCACCAACUCCAUCUUGGUGAUCAUGGUGGUGUCGUUUCCCUCGUGUGAUAUCUUGAGGGUAUCCCAAAUUUGCUUGGCGUUGUCUAAGUCGCUCACCUUGUUGUAUUCAUCCCUGCACAAAAAUGCUAGCAACACAGUGGUAGCUUGUGCAUUCUUAUGAAUUUGUUCAUUAAUAAACACGGGGUUAUCCGUACUAUCAAAAUGCAUUCCAUUUUCAACUAUCUCCCAAAUACUAUGAUGGAGAUAAAAUAAGUGACUACACAUUUUGUGACUCCAAAAAGAGUAGUCUUUUCCAUCAAAGUGUGGAGGUUUACCAAGAGGAAUUGAAAGCAAGUGAGCAUUGGAAUUAAACGGAAUACGAGAAUAAUCAAAUGAAUAGUUUUGAUUAACCGGUUUCUUUUUAGACGAGUCAUCGUCGUUGUCGUCUCUUGGUGAAGAAGAGGAGGCGUCGUUGUCGUAGUAAAUGAUCUUCUUGAUCUGCCUCUUCUUCUUCCCGUCCCUCUUCUUGUGACUUGAUCCUGAGUCAGUGGGUUGUCGUCCCUUGGCUCGUUGAAGAUGGACUCCUUCUCCUUGUCGUUGACCAUCAUCCCCUUUCCAUUAGGAUCCAUCUCUUCGGGCGAUUAGUCCCUUAGAUGAAGAGAACGGCUCCGAUACCAAUUGAGAGCACCUAGAGGGGGGGGGGGUUGAAUAGGUGAUCCUGUAAAAUUCAACACUAAUAGCCACAAAACUUGUUAUGUAAGUUAGAACGACUAAGUGGCUUGAAGCGAGUUCUUGUGAACACAGAAAAUCAAAGGUAAAGCACACAAGAGACACGCGAUUUUUAUCCUGUGGUUUAGCCAAGUAAUACUUGCCUACUUCCACGUUGUGGCGUCCCAAUGGACGAGGGUUGCACUCAACCCCUUUCAAGUGAUCCAAUGAUCAACUUGAAUACCACAGUUUUUCCUUUCUUUGUCUUUCUCCCGUUUGCGAGGAAUCUCCACAACUUGGAGCCUCUCGCCCUUACAAUGAUGAUCACAAAAGAUGUACGGAAGUAAGGGAGGGAAGAGCAACACACACAAGACUCAAAUCACAGCACAAUCAUGCACACAAGUCACAACUCGAGCUCAAAACACAACCCACGGAGUGCACAACUCAAAUGGAGCUCAAGUCACUAUCUCAAAGAAUCAAAUGCGCGAAGUUGGAGUCUUGGAGGCUUAGAAUGUUUCUUGAAUGCUUGGGUGUCUCCUUCAUGCGCCUAGGGGUCCCUUUUAUAGCCCCAAGGCAGCUAGGAGCCGUUGGAGGCCAAUAAGGAAGGUUAUCCUUGCCUUCUAUCGGGUGGCGCACCGGACAGUCCGGUGUGCCACCGGACAGUCACUGUAGACGGUCCGGUGCGGAUCCCCUUCCUAUUCUGGCACAGACAACCGUUGCAGCGCCGAGCCAGUUGGCGCAUCGGACACUUUCCGGUGCACACCGGACAGUCCGGUGCCCCUGCCGACCGUUGGCGCGGGCCACGCGUCGCCCGCGGAUUGCGCGGCCGACCGUUGCGCUGGCGGCCGUUGGCUCACCGGGCAGUCCGAUGCAGCACCGGACAGUCCGGUGAAUUAUAGCCGUACGCCACCGAUUUUUCCCGAGAGUGGCCUGUUCAUCGGAGGCUGGCCUGGUGCACCGGACACUGUCUGGUGCACCACCGGACAGUCCGAUGUGCCAAGCCGAGCUGGAAUUUGGCUGUACCAAGCCAAGUCUUUUGCAUUUCUUUUCUUCUCUUCUUUUCUCUGUUUCUAGCACUUAGACAAUAUAUGUUAGUACUCAAAACAAUGUACUAAGUCUAGAAACAUACCUUGUUACAUGAUUUGCACUUCUUGCUUGUUUGGCACAUAAUCAACUCACUUAAUAUGUGUUGGGCACUUACUCACCAAAACAUUAUAGAAAUGGCCCAAGGGCACAUUUCCCUUUCACUCUUUUCACUAAGACUUGUGAUGGUGAUCUUUUUGUGUGCCAAAUUUAUGUCGAUGACAUAAUAUUCGGUUCUACUAACCAAAAGUCUUGUGAGGAGUUUAGCAGAAUGAUGACUCAAAAGUUUGAGAUGUCGAUGAUGGGCGAGUUGAACUACUUCCUUGGGUUCCAAGUGAAGCAACUCAAGGACGACACUUUCAUCUCCCAAACGAAGUACACUCAAGAUCUUCUUAAGCGGUUUGGGAUGAAGGACGCCAAGCCCGCGAAGACACCAAUGGGAACCGACGGGCAUGUCGACCUCAACAAAGGGGGUAAGUCCGUUGAUCAAAAGGCAUACCGGUCUAUGAUAGGGUCAUUACUUUAUUUAUGUGCUAGUAGACCGGAUAUUAUGCUUAGCGUAUGCAUGUGUGCUAGAUAUCAAUCUGACUCCAGGGAAUGUCACCUUGUGGCCGUUAAGCGAAUUCUUAGAUAUUUAGUUUCUAUGCCUUGCUUCGAGAUCUGGUAUCCAAAGGGGUCUACCUUUGACUUGAUUGGAUAUUCAGACUCCGAUUAUGCUCGAUGCAAUGUUGAUAGGAAGAGUACAUCAGGGACGUGCCAAUUCCUAGGAAGGUCCCUGGUGUCUUGGAGUUCAAAGAAACAAACCUCUGUUGCUCUAUCCACCGUUGAGGCCGAGUAUGUUGCCGCAGGACAGUGUUGCACGCACCUACUUUGGAUGAGGCAAACCCUCAUGGACUUUGGCUACAAUCUGAGCAAAGUCCCACUCCUAUGUGACAAUGAGAGUGCAAUCCGCAUGGCGGAUAAUCCUGUUGAACACAACCGCACUAAGCACAUAGACAUCCGACAUCACUUUCUGAGAGACCACCAGCAAAAGGGAGAUAUCGAGGUGUACCAUAUUAGCACCAAGAACCAGCUAACUGAUAUCUUCACCAAGCCGUUGGAUGAGAAAACCUUUUGCAGGUUGUGUGGUAAGCUAAAUGUCUUAGAUUCGCGUAACUUGGAUUGAUCUAUAGCAUACAUGUGUUCUAUGCCUUUGAUCAUGUUACUUUAUGCAUUUAUAUGAUUUGUUGCUUAUUUAUGGUGCUCAAGUUGUGCAAGGGAUCCCUGGACCUCAUAAGUCCAUGUGUGAAUGAUGCAUAUAUUUAGGGGGAGAAGUGCUAUAACUUGACCCUUUGAGACUAACCUUUGUGUUUGAGUAUACUUGAUAUAGUCUCAAAGGUGCAUUGAAAGGGAAAGGUGAACUUGGACCAUGCAAAGACUUUCACUGCACUCUGGUAUUUGUGUACUCACCUCCAAGUUCAUACUUAAGCUCUCAUUGCCACUUUGCUCUUAAUUGACAUUUUUGGUGAGGCAAUGGGGUUAAGAGGCCAAGAAUGAUCCUGUUUUGGUGCUUAAUGCCAAAGAGAGAGAAAUUAAGGCCAAAGCAAAUGGAUCAGCUACCACUUGUGAAUUUUGAAAAAAAUAAAGUUAGAACUUUUGAUUUGUCCAAAAUACUCUUAUUGCAAAAUUUGGUCUCUUGUGGGGGAGAAUUUUGAUUAUGGGAAAAGGGGGAGUUUUUGGCACUUGAUCAAUUUCACUCUUGGAAUAUUUCUCUUUGUGCCCAAACAAGUGAGUUUGACUUAGAGAAAGGAAAAUGAAUUUGAUUUGCAAAAACAAACCAAGUGGUGGCAAAAAAUGAUCCAAAUAUGCCAAAUUAGAGUCGAAUACAAUUUGGUCCUCAUUUGCAUUGAUGUUGCACUUAUUUUGGUUGCUUUUUGAUGUGUUGGCAUAAAUCACCAAAAAGAGGGAGAUUGAAAGGGAAAUGUGCCCUUGGGCCAUUUCUAUAAUAUUUUGGUGAUUAAGUGUCCAAUACAUAGUAAGUGAUUAGCUAUGUGCCAAACAAACAAGAAGUGCAAAUCAUGUAACAAGUAGGGCUGGAUGAAAUACUCGUGGCUCGUUGGCUCGCUCGGCUCGUAGCCUGCUCAGCUCAGCUCGGAUCGGAUCGUUUAAAUUUUUACACGAGCUGAGCCAGCGUCUCAGCUUGGUUUCUUAACGAGCCAGCUCGAGCUGAGCUCGAGCCAGCUCGCGAGCUAACCGAGCUACCACAUUGCAGCAUACCGAUUCGGGCCGGCCUUUCACAGUUUCACUUCUUUGGCCCAUCAGCUGUAAGCCCAGGCCCAGCGCUCACCGCUCAAACAGGCAAACGGCCACGGGCCAUCGCUCUAGGCUCCAAUCUAGCACUCCAGCGUCAGCCGCUCCCACAGUCCCGCUCAGCCACGCCCGCGCGCAAACCAUAGUCGGUGUCUUGGCGAUGGCCGACGGCGGCUCGGCGGUGAUGGCUCGGCGCUCCAAGCCUCCACUCGUCUCCACCGACCACCGGUCAGCGGUCCAGGCUGCGCCGCGGCGCAGCGUUAGCGGGCAGCGGCCAACCGGCCACCGGCAUCACGCGCGGCCGCGCGCCCAAACGGCCACUUCUCCAAGCUCCAGUCCAGCUCCAGCACUCCAGCGUCAGCACUCAGCCGCUCUCGUAGUCCCGCAUAGUCGCGCCCGCACGCAAACCCUAGUUGGUGUCUCGGCGACGGCCGACGGUGACUCGGCGGAUCGGUGCUCCAAGCCUCCACUCGUCUCCACCGACCACCGGUCAGCGGUCCAGGUAGCGCCGCGGCACAGCGCCAGCGGGCAACGGCCAACCGGGCACCGGCAUCACGUGCGGCCGCACGCCCAAACGGCCACCGCUCCAUGCUCCAACAAUUCAGCAUCACUGGCUCACUGCGUCUGCGUCUCAGCGUCUACGUCAGGAUCCAGCGUCACUGCGUCUACGACUGUGUCAGGCUCAGCAUCGAUAUCCAGCCCUAUGGAGGAGAACACUCCAUUGCCAGCAAGUUUGGGGUCUCGAUCUCGAAUUCGAACCAAGCAACUCACAAAGAAGCCACCCAUUUCGAUGCAGAAGAUGUCUGCAGCGACAACAUCAUCGGCGUCCGGCAAUCGGUCUAAUGUUUCUAUAUCUGUGGUGAGUAUCCAAAACUUCAAAUGCUAAGCUUUUGUUGUCUUCACAUUCUUUGUUGUAUGCUAGAUUGUAAUGUUGGAUUGAAAUGCAGGAACCAACAACUAAUUCUAGAGAGGAGGAAGACAAGGAGGAGGACAAUAGCCUCGACAUGGAGGAUGAUUUCUCUCUAAGCCUAUCUUCAGAGGAUGGUGGGAGCCAGGGUGAAGAUGAGGUUCAGGUGGCACAAGUUCAUAAUGCAAAGAGAGGAGUCAAAAAGGCAAAGGGUGAUGUUCCAUUAUCUCCUUCAAAGUGUAAGGUCAAGAGGGUGAAGCGAGCCGAUUGCUGGAAGUAUUUUAAGGUGGUCGAAGUUCAAUCAAAGAAGAAGUUUGGGGAAAUGGUGACGAAGGCCAAGUGCAAGUUUUGUUACAAACUGUAUGUGUAUCAACCUGGGGGGUCCAACAUCACAGCUGAAUCGACAUCUGGAUAAGUGCACUGCCUACCAGAACAAGUUGGCCAAUGCAAAAUCAAAGGUUGCUCAAGGUACUAUCAGCUUCGCUCUUGAUGAUGGUUCUCUUGUUGUUAAUCCCAGUGAAUAUGAUCGUGAUCACACUAGAAAUUUGAUUGCUAAGAUGAUUAUUGUUCAUGAGUAUUCACUUCGAAUGGUAGAGCACAGAUGGUUUAAUAUCUUGAUGAAAUGGAUGAAUAACAGCUAUGAAAGUAUUGGUAGAAAGACUAUAAAAAACGAGUGCAUGAAAGUGUAUGAAUCUGAAAAGGACCUUCUAAAGAAAACUCUUAGAAAGGUUGAAUCCAUAAGUUUGACUACCGAUCUGUGGACAUCUAACCAAAAUGUCCAAUACAUGAGUUUGGUUGCACACUACAUAGAUGUAAAUUGGGAAUUGCAAUGUCGUGUACUAAACUUUGUGGAGUUGGAUCCUCCCCACACUGGUGUAGUGAUAGCUCAAGCUAUUUUAGAGUGCCUGGUUGAAUGAAAAAUUGAAGAUAAAGUUAUCACAAUCACACUUGACAAUGCUUCAAAUAAUGAUGUUGCCAUCACCAAUUUGACAUCCAAGCUUCUUGCUAGAAGGAAGAUGUGCUAAUGGUGGAUGCUAGCCUUUUGGUUUUGGUGGCAUGUUGUUGUCUAGUCUAGUUGACUUGCUGUGCACUUUGUACAUGUCCUGCACUCCUGCUAAGCUGCUAGGGCAGUAGACAGUAGUGCACUAGUCAGUAGUGCCAUCCUUUUGGUGGUUAAGUGGUUAGUGGUUAGUUAGUUGUAAAUUCUAGUGGUUAACUGGUUGUAAGUUCUGGUAGGGCUGGAUAUCGAGCCAGCUUGGCUCGGCUCGGCUCGGCUCGUUAAACAACCGAGCCAGAAGAGCAGCUCGGCUCGGCUCGUUAACGAGCUCGAGCUGGCUCGUUUGGCUCACGAGCCACAGCAAAAAAAUCUGCUGCACUCACCCGUCACACACACACACACACAUAUAUAUAUAUAUAUAUAUAUAUAUAUAUAUAUAUAUAUAUAUAUACUGAUGUACACAAAUACAAAAACAAUUUAACACUAGAAAAUAGUUCAAAAGUGACAACACAAAUCACAUUUCAUAAUCAGGAAUUCAGCCUGCAACAUUCAUGAUUCAUCAGUUCACAAAUCACAACAUUCAUCAGUUCAUGGCUUCAAGCAUCACAGUUCACAACAUUAGAAUUUACAACCAACCAGGCAACCACUAACCAUGCUCCAUGCAUCUGUGAUCAGUCCAUGGCUUCAUGCAUCACACGAUCACAACAUUAAUUCAUGGCUUAAUUUACAAAAGUAGCCACCACACCAGAACUUACAAGGUACGUUUUUAGACUUAGUACAUUGUUUUGAGUACUAACAUAUUUUGUCUAAGUACUAGAAACAGGGAGAAAAGAAUUGGAAAAAGACUUGGCUCUGCGCAGCCAAUUCUCAGCUCAGUCUGGCACACCGGACAGUGUCCGGUGGUGCACCGGAUAGUGUCCGGUGCGCCAGGCUGGUCUCGGGAAAAGUUUGGUGGCGUACGGCUAUAAUUCACCGGACUGUCCGGUGGUACACCGGACUGUCCGGUGAGCCAACGGUCGCCAGCGCAACGGUCGGCCGCGCAAUCCGCGAGCGACGCGUGGCCCGCACCAACGGUCGGCAGGGGGCAUCGGACUGUCCGGUGUGCACCGGACAGUGUUUGGUGCGCCAACGGGCCCGAAGCUGCAACGGUCGGGUGAGCCAGAAAAGAAAGGAGAUCGUGCACCAGACAGCUACAAUGAUUGUCCAGUGGUGCACCGGACUGUCCGGUGCACCACCCAACAAAAGGCAAGUUUGGCCUUCCUUGUUGGCCUCCAACGGCUCCUAGCUGCCUUGGGGCUAUGAAAGGGACCCCUAGGCGCAUGGAGGAGCUACACAAGCAUUCACUAAGCAUCCUAAGGCAUCCAGACUCUGUUCUCGCGCAUUCAUUUCGUUGUGUUAGAGAUUUGAGCUCUAUUCGAGUCAAGGACUCCUUAUGUUGUCAUUUGAGCUCAAGUCUUCUCUUGUGUGCGUGGGUGUGCUGCGAUUUGUGUCUUGUGUGUGUUGCUCAUCCCAACCUUACUCUGUGCUUUCAUUGUGAUAUUUGUUGUAAGGGCGAGAGACUCCAAUCUUGUGGAGAUUCCUCGCAAACAGGAAUAAUCAUCUAAAGGAAAAACCGUGGUAUUCAAGUUGAUCAUCGGAUCACUUGAAAGGGGUUGAGUGUAACUCUCGUCCAUUGGUACGCCACAACGUGGAAGUAGGCAAGUGUUACUUGGCCGAACCACGAGAUAAAAAUCGUGUGUCUUGUGUUGAUCUCUCUGUGAUUAUUUGUGUUCACAAGAACUCGCUUCAAGUUAUUUAGCCGUACUAACACUCAUAACUAAGUUUUGUGGCUAUUAGUGUUUGAAUUUUACAAGAUCACCUAUUCACCCCCCCUCUAGGUGCUCUCAUGUCGAGGUCGAGAUGGGCUUGGCAUCCUUCAUUCCAAACUUAUUGAGUAUGUCUUGAAUAUACUUGGUUUGGCUAAUGAAGGUGCCCUCUUGGAGUUGCUUGACUUGAAAUCCUAGGAAAUACUUCAACUCCCCCAUCAUAGACAUCUCGAAUUUUUGAAUCAUGAUCCUACUAAACUCUUCACAAGUAGAUUUGUUAGUAGACCCAAAUAUGAUAUCAUCAACAUAAAUUUGGCAUACAAACAAAUCUUUUGCAAUAGUUUUAGUAAAGAGUGUAGGAUCGGCUUUACCGACUUUGAAUCCAUUAGUGAUAAGGAAAUCUCUUAGGCAUUCAUACCAUGCUCUUGGGGUUUGCUUGAGCCCAUAAAGCGUCUUUGAGAGUUUACAGACAUGGUUAGGGUACUCACUAUCCUCAAAGCCGGGAGGUUGCUCAACAUAGACCUCUUCCUUGAUUGGUCCAUUGAGGAAGGCACUUUUCACGUCCAUUAGAUAGAGCUUAAAGCCAUGGUAAGUAGCAUAGGCAAGUAAUAUGCGAAUUGACUCAAGCCUGGCUACGGGUGCAUAGGUUUCACCGAAAUCCAAACCUUCGACUUGUGAAUAUCCUUUGGCUACAAGUCGGGCUUUGUUCCUUGUCACCACACCAUGCUCGUCUUGCUUGUUGCGGAAUACCCAUUUGGUACCUAAAACAUUUUGAUUAGGACGUGGAACUAAAUGCCAUACCUCAUUCCUCGUGAAGUUGUUGAGCUCCUCUUGCAUGCCAACACCCAAUCUGAAUCUCUUAGUGCAUCCUCCACCAUGUAUGGCUCAAUAGAGGACACAAAAGAGUAAUGUUCACAAAAAUGAGUGACUCGAGAUCGAGUUGUUACCCCCUUAUGAAUGUCACCGAGAAUUGAGUUCAUGGGGUGAACUCUUUGAAUCGCUUGGUGGACUCUUGGGUGUGGCGGUCUUUGACCCUGUAUCUCUUGAUCAUCUUCCAUGUCUUGCUCAACUUCAUCUCCCCCUUGAUCGUUGUCCUCCUCUUGAGGUGGCUCAUCCUCUUGAUCUUCAUUUUCAUCAUUUUGAGCCUGAUCCUCAUCUUGGGUUGGUGGAGAUGUUUGCAUGAAAGAUGAUGGUUGAUCUUGUGCUUGUGUGCACUUCGGAUUCCUUAGGACACACAUCCCCAAUGGACAUGUUCCUUAGCGCGACGCAUGGAGCCUCUUCAUCAUCUAAUUCAUCAAGAUCAACUUGCUCCACUUGGGAGCCAUUAGUCUCAUCAAACACAAUGUCACAAGAAAUCUCAACUAAUUCAGAGGAUUUGUUGAAGACUCUAUAUGCCCUUGUGUUUGAGUCAUAUCCUAGUAAAAAGCCUUCUACAACCUUAGGAGCAAAUUUAGAUUUUCUACCUCUUUUAACAAGAAUAAAACAUUUGCUACCAAAGUCUCUAAAAUAUGAAACAUUGACCUUUUUACCGGUGAGGAGUUCAUAAGAUGUCUUCUUGAGGAUUCGGUGAAGGUAGAGCCGGUUGAUGGAGUAGCAGGCGGUGUUAAUCGCCUCAGCCCAAAACCGGUCCGGAGUCUUGUACUCAUCAAGCAUGGUCCUUGCCAUGUCCAGUAGAGUUCUAUUCUUCCUCUCCACUACACCAUUUUGUUGAGGUGUGUAGGGAGAAGAGAACUCAUGCUUGAUGCCCUCAUCCUCAAGAAAGCCUUCUAUUUGUGAGUUCUUGAACUCUGUCCCAUUGUCCCAUCCUCAAGCAAGCAUUUAAUUCAUGAAUCUUAGUAUAUAAAAUAGCAUUCUCUUUUCUAAGAUUGGAAAUAGAAACAUUGCAAACAUCCAAGUCUUUAGCCUUUGAAAUUAAACUAGCAUUUUCAAGUUUAAGGCUAGAAAUUGAUUCAUUCAAUUUAUCAAUCUUAGCAAUCAAACUAUCAAUUUCAUUUCUAAGAUUGGCAAUUGAAUCAUGGCAAUCAUUUGAUUUUUCAACCUUAGCAAUUAAAUUACAAUUCUCAGUUCUAAGGUUGAAGAUAGUGUCAUGGAAAAUGCUAAGCUCUUUAGUCAAGUUUUCACAUUUCUCUAUCUCCUAAGCAUAAGCAUUUUUCACCUUAACAUGUUUUUUAGUUUCCUUAAUAAGGAAUUCCUCUUGGCUAUCCAAGAGUUCAUCCUUCUCAUGAAUAGCACCUAUUAAUUCAUUUAAUUUUUCUUUUUGUUGCAUGUUAAGGUUGGCAAAAAGACUAAGCAAGUUAUCUUCAUCAUCACUAGAACUACCAUCAUCACUAGAUGUAGUAUACUAGGGGGUGGUUCUAGCUUGUACCUUCUUUUUCUUGUCGUCCUUUGCCAUGAGGCACUUGUGGUCGACAUUGGGGAAGAGAAGUCCCUUGUUGCCGGCGAUGUUGGCGGCGUCCUCGUCGGAGGAGGAGUCGGUGGAGCUCAUGUCCGAGUCCCAUUCCUAACAUAUGUGGGCAUCGCCGCCCUUCUUCUUGUAGUACUUCUUCUUUUCCUUUCUCUUUCCCCUCUUGUCGUCACCCCUGUCACUAUCACUUGACAUAGGACAUUUAGCAAUGAAAUGACUGGGCUUACCACACUUGUAGCACACCGUUUUGGAGCGGGGUUUGUAGUCCUUCCCCCUCCUUUGCUUGAGGAUUUGGUGGAAGCUCUUGAUAAUGAGUGUCAUCUCCUCGUUGUCGAGCUUAGAGGCAUCGAUGGGGAGCCUACUUGAUGUAGACUAUUCUUUCUUCUCCUCCAUCGCUUUGAAUGCGACGGGUUGCACCUCGGGUGUGGAAGUGUCACCUUGCUCCAAGUUGAUGAUUUGUUUGGAGCCUUUGAUCAUCAAUUCAAAGCUCACAAACUUUCCUAUCACUUCCUCCGGAGACAUUAAUUUGUAUCUAGGAUCCCCAUGAAUUAAUUGUACUUGAGUAGGAUUGCGAAAAACAAGGGAUCUUAGAAUAACCUUGACCAUCUCAUGGUCAUCCCAUUUUGUGCUCCCGAGGUUGCGCACUUGGUUGACCAAGGUCUUGAGCCGGUUGUACAUUGCUUGUGGCUCCUCUCCUUGGUUGAGGAUGAAUCGACCAAGUUCCCCCUCGAUCGUCUCCCGCUUGGUGAUCUUGGUCACCUCAUCCCCUUCGUGCGCGGUCUUUAGUACAUCCCAAAUCUCUUUGGCACUUUUUAGCCCUUGCACCUUAUUAUAGUCCUCUCGACAUAGAGAGGCGAGGAGUAUAGUGGUGGCUUGGGAGUCAAAAUGCCGGAUUUGGGCGACCUUGUCCGAAUCAUAUCCUUCAUCCCCUACGGAUGGUACCUGCGUUCCAAACUCAACAAUAUCCCAUAUGCUUGCGUGGAGUGAGGUUAGAUGAUGCCUCAUUUUAUCACUCCACAUACAAUAAUCUUCACCAUAAAAAACCAGUGGUUUGCCUAAUGGGACGGAAAGUAAAGGAGUGUGUUUAGAAAUGCGAGGAUAGCGUAGGGGGAUCUUACUAAACUUCUUGCGCUCAUGGCGCUUAGAAGUAACAGACGGCGCGUCGGAGCCGGAGGUGGAUGGCGACGAAGAAUCGGUCUCGUAGUAGACCACUUUCUCCAUUUUCUUCCUCUUGUCGCCACUCCAAUGCGACUUGACGCGGGGAGGUGAUUUCUCCCUUCCUUUGGCACCGGACUCCCUUGAUGGAGCCUUCCCGUGGCUUGUGGCUGUUUCCAUCUCCCUCUUGGCGUGAUCUCCCGACAUUACUUCGAGUUUUUAAACUCUAAUGAAGUAUCGGGCUCUGAUACCAAUUGAAAGUCGCCUAGAGGGGGGUGGAUAGGCGGAAACUGAAAUUUACAAACUUAAAGCACACUACAAGCCGAGGUUAGCGUUAGAAUAAAAAUCGAGUCCGAGAGAGAGGGGGAAAACAAAUCAACCAAGAAAUAAAGCAGAUGACACGGUGAUUUGUUUUACCGAGGUUCGGUUCCAAAGAACCUAGUCCCCAUUGAGGUGGUCACAAAGACCGGGUCUCUUUCAACCCUUUCCCUCUCUCAAACGGUCACUUAGACCGAGUGAGUUUCUUCCUUGAUUUCUCGGGUCACUUAGACCCCGCAAGGACCACCACACAAUUUGUGUCUCUUGCUUCGCUUACAAGGCUUUGAGAGUAAGAAUGAGAGAAAGAAGAAAGCCAACCAAGCAACAAGAGCAACAAAGAACAUAAGACGAUCUUCUCACAAGUCCUAAAAUACUAGAGUUGAAUUGUGGACUUUGAUUGGAUCGAAGGCUUUGAUUUGUGUCUUGGAGUGUUGUAUUUUGCUCUUGUAUUUAAUGAGGAGUAGUGAAUGCUUGGAUGGUUGGAGUGGAGAUGGUUGGGGGGUAUUUAUAGCCCUCAACCACCAAUUCAACCGUUGGGGCAGGCUGUUGUCGACGGGCGCACCGGACAGUCCGGUGCGCCAGCCACGUCACCCAACCGUUAGGGUUCUGACGGUUUCGACCGUUGGAGCUUUGUCUUCAUGUGGCACCGGACAGUCCGGUGCCGCACCGGACAGCUACUGUUCACUGUCCGGUGCGCCUCUGGCGACUGCUCUGACUUCUGCGCGCACUGUUCUUCACUGUUCACGUUGCAGGCGACCGUUGGAGUCAACCGUUGCGCUGGCUAGCCGUUGCUCCGCUGGCACACCGGACAGUCUGGUGAAUUAUAGCGAAGCGCGGCCUCAGAAACCCGAAGGUGAAGAGUUGGAGUCGAUCGCCCCUGGUGCACCGGACACUAUCCGAUGGUGCACCGGACAUUGUCCGGUGCGCCAGACCAGGGUUCUCUUCGGUUUCUUUUGCUCCUUUCUUUUGAAAUCCUAACUUGAUCUUUUUAUUGGUUUGUUUUGAACCUUUAGCACCUAUAGAAUAUAUGAUCUAGAGCAAACUAGUUAGUCCAAUUAUUUGUGUUGGGCAUUCAACCACCAAAAUCAUUUAUAGGAAAAGGUUAAACCCUAUUUCCCUUUCAAUAACUCAUCCAUAUACGUGGACACGGACUAUUCUAAUAAAUUUUGAACUCUGCACAGAGGUGUGCUCUCUAUCCACUAGUCCGGUUUCUGCAAUUUCAACGUCAUGAGUUUCGAAUACCGAAACUCUCUCCUCCCUUGCACGGCUUUGCCUUAACGGUUAUACCAAAAGGAACAAGGUAACCUCCUCACCCAAACCAGGAUGUAAUUAUUCCCCCACCUUGUCCUUUCGGUGCUCCCUAGCCACCGAUAAGCCAGGGGUGCAGACUGUGCAAGUUCAGAUUAAGCGACUGUCCAUACAGUCCCGAGUGGUUGUACUUGAUAAGAGUUUAGGUAAGGAGUGAUGACAAGCCGGUCCUUAUGCGAGACGGGACAAUCAUUCAUGCUCACACCUAACCCGGCUGAGCCAACUUCUUAGGGCCCUCCCAAACCAGGGAGUCCUGAUCAUCCCGCUCAUGGUGGUGACAGAGAUAAAUGUUCACCCUUUUUUUGAAAACAAGUUUCUUUUAAAAAAACUCACACCUUUUAUCAAAUCAUUUUGUAAUAAAAAUGUCAAGGAGUAUAAAAAAUUUUUGCGACAAAGUUCUAAGGUUGGGUGGCCAUAUUAACAUGUCUCUUAGUAGCAAAAUAAUGUAAUGCAUAAAAUAACAGGCUGAGUGAUGUGUUUGAAAGCAUAGAUAAUUUAUACAUCAAAGAGAUCUAGUGGGUUUGUCGUGCCUUAACUAGCGAAAGGGUGAGAGCUUGUUGUACUAGCUUCUGGCUUCACCGACUGGCAUGGACUUGCGGAACUGGCAUUCAUGGGACAUCACGAACGCUCCGAUAACUAUGCAGCAAGAAUAAGCAAACAUACAAACCAGCAAGUAUAUCAACUAAAAUUCUUUAUAGUGGUCAGGAAUGGUGGUGGAUGGGUGAAUAUAGAUUUGAGUAGAGUUUGUAUUGAUGGAGUAGAGAUGCUUACCCGACAUGCAUUUAGAUCGGCAUCCUCUUCAAUGAAAUCAAUUAAAUAAAGCUUAUCGUCUAAUACACCUUUAAAAGCUAAUGUACCAUCACUUAUUCUAAAGACAGAUACAUCAAUAUUUGUAAAGAAACAAUUACAGCUCAUAUGACAUAAUUGACUUAUAGAAAGCAAAAUGUAACCAAGCGAUUCUACUAAGAAAACAUUAGAUAUUGAAUGCUCAGUAAUGAUGGCUAUUUUACCCAAACCUUUGAGCUUGCCAUGAUUCCCGUCUCCAAAGACAAUCGUAUCUUGGGAAUCCUUGUUUUUGACGUAGGAGGUGAACAUCUUCUUCUCCCCCAUCAUAUGGUUUGUGCAUCCACUGUCAAUAAUCCAACUUGUGCCUCCGGAUGCAUAAACCUGCAAGGUGAUUUAAGCCUGGGAUUUAGGUACCCAACUCUUGUUGGGUCCUACAAGGUUAGUCACAUAAGACUUUGGAACCAAAAUACAAGUUUUGCCUCUCUUGCACUUAGGCCCCACAUUUCUAGCAAUAACUUUUUCAUUUUUACACAUAAGCACAAAUGAAGCAUCAUAAGUAUGAUAAAACAUAGUUGGACCAUUAGAUGCAUUCCUAGGCGCAUGGGAAACAACAUGAUGAGUAUGGCGCCUAGGUCUACUCCUACCAUGAACAUACAAAGAGGUAGAGGAUGCAAACAUGGCAUGUGAAUCAAAGGCAGCAUCAUGACGUACAGGUAAAACAACAUGAUUAUAACAACCAUCAUGAUGAGCAGCAUUAGUGGCAUUCUUAACAUGAGCAUACAAAUAGGCAUGGUUCUUUUUGUCAUGAAAAGAAUGAGAACUACUAGCCAUAGGUGCCUUCCCUUUCUCCUUGAUGAGAUUGGAGGCCCUUUGGCUUAAGUUCUUGGUCCCCUUUUGGAAACCAAGUCCAUCCUUAAUGGAGGGAUGUCUACCAAUGGUGUAGGCAUCCCUUGCAAAUUUUAUUUCAUCACACUCAUUCUUGCAAGUUUUAAGUUGGGCAUUAAGGUUUGCAAUUUCAUCAUUCAACUUAGAGAUAGUGGAAGCAUGAGUAUUGCAAGCAUCAAUAUCAAUUUCUUUACAUCUAUUGCAAAUAGAAACAUGAUCCAUAGAUGAACUAGCAACAUUUACUUUUUCUAGCUUAGCAUUUAAAUUGUUAAGACUAGAAAUAGAAUCACGACAAGACGAUAACUCAGAAGAAAGUAAUUCAUUUUUCUUAAUUUCAACAGCUAGAGAUUUUUCAGCAUUAAUACACUUAUCAUGUUCUUCAUAUAGAAUAUCGUAUUGUUUCUCUAGCAAUCUAUCCUUCUCAUUAAGGGCAUCAAUUACUUCAUUGAUUUUAUCUACUUUAGAUCUAUCUAAACCUUUAAAGAUAUCGCUAUAGUCUACAUCAUCAUCAUAUUCCUCAUCACUAGAAGAAGUGUACUUAGGGGUAUCUCGAGUACGUACCUUCUUCUCCUUAGCCAUGAGGCAUGUGUGAUGCUCGUUGGGGAAGAGGAAGGACUUGUCGAAGGCUGAGGCAGCAAGUCCCUUAUCGUCGGAGUCGGAUGAAGAGCAAUCUGAGUCCCACUCUUUGCCAAUGUGCGCCUCGCUCUUCGUCUUCCUGUAGUUCAUUGAUAAGUACGGGAUUAUCACUACUAUCAAAUGCAUUCCAUUUUCCACUAUCUCCCAAAUACUAGGAUGGGGAGAAAAUAAACAUUUUAUGACUCUAGAAAGAAUAAUCUUCUCCAUCAAAGUGGGGGGGUUUCCAAGUGGAAUAGACAAUAAAUGUGCAUUCGAAUUAUAAGGGAUGUGUGAAUAAUCAAAAGAAUAGUUUUGAUUAAUCGUUUUUUUUCGAUGAAGAGUCUUCGUCGUCGUCAUCCAUUGGUGAAGAAGAAGAGGUGUUGUUGUCGUAGUAGAUGUUCUUCUUGAUGCGCCUCUUCUUUCUAUCCUUCCUUUUGUUGGUUGAGUCUGAGUCGGUGGGCUUGUCACCUUUUGGCUCAUCAAAAUAGAGAGUCUCCUUCUCCUUCUCCUUGUCGUUGAUCACCAUCCCCUUGCCCUUAGGAUCCAUCUCUUCGGGUGGUUAGUCCCUUGAUGAAGAGAACAACUCUAAUAUCAAUUGAGAGCACCUAGAGGGGGUGAAUAUGUGAUCCUGUAAAAAACAGCUCAACAAAACAAACUUGGACUAAUAUUGAAUUAGUGGAAGCAAGAGCCAAGUUCGAAUGAGGAUUAUGAGCGGAGUAAACUUCUUCACUUAAUUGCUCUUCACUAUGUGAGCAUUAAACUUAGAGCAAUAAUGUAAGUGAAGUGGAUAGAGAGAAAAUCGCAGUAGGAUAAGGAUACGUGACACAACGAUUUUUAUCUCGUGGUUCGGUCAAGUAGAAUACUUGCCUACUCCACGUUGUGGCGUCCCAACGGACGAGGGUUGCACUCAACCCCUUUCAAGUGAUCCAAAGGUCAACUUGAAUGCCACGGUUCUGUUUAUCUCAACAAUACCCCAUUGUGAGUUAUCUCCACAAUUUGGAGUCUCUCACGCCUAACACAAAUGAUCUCAAAUAAACACAAGAGUAAGGGGGAAUAGAAACACACACAAGAGCGAGAGUUGCAGCAGCAACACACACACAAGACAAGAAAGAGCACACGAAACAACACAGCGGAGUUACAGCUCAAAGAAGUGCUCAAAUCUAUAUCACAAUGAAACGAAUGCGUGUUUGCGGAUUCUCGGCAUUGUAAGAUGUUUAAUGGGUGCUUGGUGUAAUGCUCCAUAUGCCUAGGGGUCCCUUUUAUAGCCCCAAGGCAGCUAGGAGCCGUUGGCGUCCCAUUUGUAAGGCCCUGGUUGCCUUCUAUCCGUGGACGCAGUCUGGUGCACCACCGGACAAUGAACAGUGUGUGAUUUCCUUCCUUAUUUGGCAAGACGACCAUUGUCAGCCACUGGUCCCACGGCGCAUCGGACAGGCUGGUGUCACACCAGACAGUCCAGUGUUGCAUGUUGACCGUUGGCUGAGCCACGUGUCGCCCGCUGAUCGCGCGGUCGAUCGUUAGCAGGGCGCGUGGCUGGCACAUCGGAUAGUCCGGUGCACAAUCAUGUCUUGUUUCAUCUCGUUUUCAUGUGCUUUUCCUAAAUAUAGGAUCUCCGACAGGGGGAGUAUAUCUUCUUUCAUACAAAAGGGGAGAAUAUUCUUUCAAAGGGGGUGAGCUCUCUUUUAGGGGGAGUAAUCAUUUUAGAGGGCAAGUCUUUGAUUGCUUCCUAUAUGAUUUUAAUGUCUUCCUUUUGGUGUUUGAUUCCAAAGGGGGCGAAGUUUUAGGGACCAAAGCAAAUUCAAAAUAUAUCAAAUAUCAAACACCACCCAAUUUAAAAUUUAAAAACUUGAGCUUACAAGCAGUUUUGGUUCUACAAGUGUUUUUGGUCUAAAAUAGGAAGUAUGUGGAUUAUGGUGUUAGGGGAGGCUUAAGCCCAUAAUGUCACGUUGUGGGGACAUUCAUGCAUCCUAGCAAGUAGAUUGCAUAUUUUUAUCAAAAUAUUUUUUAUAUUUGCUUGCUUUGGUUGUGUUGUCAUCAAUCACAAAAAGGGGGUUGUAAGGAAAAUGGACCUCGACCCAUUUAACUAAAUGAUUUUGGUGGUUGAUGAUCAACAUAAUCUGUUGACUAAUGUGUCUGCUAGUUUUUAUAUUUGUAGUUCAUAGGAUGUUAAAGUGACUUGGACUAAGGCACUGAGGAAGCAACACCUCAAAAGAAGAUAUUAUGAAACCAUAUGUGAAGAUCAAAAAGUAUCAAGCAAAGUCCAAGACAUGAAGAGAGUGUAGCCACUCGCGAACCAUCUGUCCAAGUGCAGCGGAUUGUCCGAUGGCUCACCGGAUAGUCCGGUCCACCCGGUGGACUAUCCGGUGCACCAAGAAAUAGUAGUCCAACACCUAGUUCCUGGUGGCACAGUGGAGGAAAGCCACUGAAUUGUACGGUGCACCACCGGACUGUCCGGUGUGUUGCAGAGAGCAGUAGCUUUUCUGCAAUGGCUAUAUUCGAGUUGGGACCUAUAUAUAUUUCACCCAACCGGCCAUUUGAAGGGGUGGCAGUCCAAGCAACUGCUUGGGAGUCCUUGCAAUUUGAAUAAACCAAGAUCUUACCAUGACUGCAAUUUUAGAGAGACGCGAAAGUACAAGCCUGUGGGGUCGCUUCUGCAACUGGAUAACUAGCACCGAAAACUGUAUUUACAUUGGAUGGUUCGGUGUUUUGAUGAUCCCUACCUUAUUGACCGCAACUUCCGUAUUUAUUAUCGCCUUCCAACACAUGUUAUAGACAUUUCCAAGUGCUCA